rnacentral:rRNA from 1 species
UGGAAUCGCUAGUAAUCGCGGAUCAGAAUGCCGCGGUGAAUACGUUCCCGGGUCUUGUACACACCGCCCGUCACACCAUGGGAGUCGGAAAUGCCCGAAGUCUGUGACCCAACCUGAGAGGGAGGGAGCAGCCGAAGGCAGGUCUGAUGACUGGGGUGAAGUCGUAACAAGGUAUC